GACGAACCGGACAAACGUUAUUCGGAAUUAUUGGGCUUAAAGGGUGCGUAGGCGGCGCGGUAAGUGAGGUGUGAAAUCCCUCGGCUCAACCGAGGAAUUGCGCUUCAUACUGCCGUGCUUGAGUGAGAUAGAGGCGAGCGGAACUGAUGGUGGAGCGGUGAAAUGCGUUGAUAUCAUCAGGAACACCAGUGGCGAAAGCGGCUCGCUGGGUCUCUACUGACGCUGAAGUACGAAAGCUAGGGUAGCGAACGGG
rnacentral:rRNA from 1 species